rfam:Jeotgalibacillus soli Cunha et al. 2012 strain P9 contig00018, whole genome shotgun sequence.
ACGAUGUUCCGCUGUAAAGGAAAUAGAGGACAAGAGCAUCUG